CCGUCAGAACCUUUGCAAUGUAGGGAAUCAGAGGCAGGUUCAGGACCAGCAGCACCACAUUGCCGAUAUACAUCGAAAUGAUCACGGACCAGAAAAUAUCCGGCUGGUCCUGCAUCAGGCGCGGGCC
rnacentral:ncRNA from 1 species